rnacentral:rRNA from 1 species
UACAGAGGUCCCAAGCGUUGUUCGGAUUCAUUGGGCGUAAAGGGGUGCGUAGGCGGCGCGGUAAGUCGGGUGUGAAAUCUCGGAGCUUAACUCCGAAACUGCAUUCGAUACUGCCGUGCUUGAGGACUGGAGAGGAGACUGGAAUUUACGGUGUAGCGGUGAAAUGCGUAGAUAUCGUAAGGAAGACCAGUGGCGAAGGCGGGUCUCUGGACAGUUCCUGACGCUGAGGCACGAAGGCCAGGGGAGCAAACGGG